GGGUAUACCACCUGAGGUGCCACGGACCGAGCCAUGGGAGUUUCCUCAGUCAUGUCAUCUAAGCUGCUGAUUGUUGCACAAGCAUGCCAUUUGGCAGCAAGUGAUGUAACAGCUUGUGCUUUGUGUGUGAUCUUUGCUGCACUACGUAAGCACAUGAAAAGUCCAGUUACCAGAGUAAUUGAGCUCAACGCAAGUUCACCUGCUGUAAAGAUGUUCACUGUGGAGCUAGGCUCAGUAGUAAGAAGCAGCGCAAGAAACUGGCUUAUGGUAACUAGUAUGAGAGUUGACAAAAUGAAAACUCUGAACCGAUGACUAAUGACACGAAGAUUUCUUCUGAUUCGAAGAUGUUCCAUCAUGAUCGAUGAGACAUCAGUUUCUUUCUCGAAAACUUGAGCAAACUCUUCCAGUCUAAGGAUCUGCAGGGAGCAUAUUAACCGGAAUAGGACACAUACAAGGAAGGAAAUUGAUAUCCGGUAAAGCCAGGAGCUUAUUAACAGUAUGCAUACGAAGAUAUUGCUCAAAGCAGCAUUGUACAGGUAAGGAAUUUGUGUUCCCCCGGAGGAAAACCACCAUAUCUUGUAAAUACUCUCAACAAUAAAAGAAGGGAGGACAAAAGAUGAGAGGAUCUUCAUCGACCUAUGUAGCUGUUC
rnacentral:misc_RNA from 1 species